rnacentral:rRNA from 2 species
GCAUGCUUUUGACGGGUAACGGGGAAUUAGGGUUCGACUCCGGAGAGGGAGCCUGAGAAACGGCUACCACAUCCAAGGAAGGCAGCAGGCGCGCAAAUUACCCAAUCCCAACAUGGGGAGGUAGUGACAAGAAAUACUGAUAUAGGGUCCUAUAGGAUCUUGUAAUUGGAAUGAGUACAAUUUAAACCCAUUAACGAGGAACAACUAGAGGGCAAGUCUGGUGCCAGCAGCCGCGGUAAUUCCAGCUCUAGUAGCAUACAUUAAAAUUGUUGCAGUUAAAACGCCCGUAGUUGAAGCUUAGGUCCUUAUCAUCUAGUCUGCCUCACCGCUAGCACUGGUAUGAUUGGGCCUUUUUUCUUGGUAAACUGUUAUGCCCUUUAUUGGGUGUGGCAGUGAACUAGGACUUUUACUUUGAAAAAAUUAGAGUGUUUAAAGCAGGCUUUUGCUCGAAUACCUUAGCAUGGAAUAAUGGAAUAUGACGAGUGGUUGUUUUUCAUUGGUUUUCACGACUACCGUAAUGAUUGAUAGGGAUGGUCGGGGGCAUCGGUAUUCGAUCGUCAGAGGUGA